rfam:Gossypium raimondii Chr10_contig_976, whole genome shotgun sequence.
AAUCUAUGGUGCGGGCACUUUUGAAUCAACAUUUUUAAGUGCUCCCACACCUCAUGGAAACUUUCCCCUUCCUUCUGUCUAAAGACAACAAUCUAUCUUCUUAGUUG